GAUGAAGAACGUAGCGAAAUGCGAUAAGUAAUGUGAAUUGCAGAAUUUAGUGAAUCAUCGAAUCUUUGAACGCACAUUGCGCCCCUUGGUAUUCCAUGGGGCAUGCCUGUUCGAGCGUCAUUUGUACCUUCAAGCUCUGCUUGGUGUUGGGUGUUUGUCUCGCCUCUGCGUGUAGACUCGCCUCAAAACAAUUGGCAGCCGGCGUAUUGAUUUCGGAGCGCAGUACAUCUCGCGCUUUGCACUCAUAACGACGACGUCCAAAAGUACAUUUUUACACUCUUGACCUCGGAUCAGGUAGGGAUACCCGCUGAACUUAAGCAUAUCAAUAAGCGGAGGA
rnacentral:misc_RNA from 1 species